UACGAAGGGGGCUAGCGUUGCUCGGAAUUACGUGGGCGUAAAGCGCACGUAGGCGGAUUGUUAAGUCGGGGGUGAAAUCCUGGAGCUCAACUCCAGAACUGCCUUCGAUACUGGCGAUCUCGAGUUCGGGAGAGGUGAGUGGAACUGCGAGUGUAGAGGUGAAAUUCGUAGAUAUUCGCAAGAACACCAGUGGCGAAGGCGGCUCACUGGCCCGAUACUGACGCUGAGGUGCGAAAGCGUGGGGAGCAAACAGGG
rnacentral:rRNA from 1 species